CAAUCGAACCCGGAGAUAGCUGGUUCUCCUCGAAAUAGCUUUAGGGCUAGCCUCGCAUUAGUUUACCGGAGGUAGAGCACUGAAUGGUCUAGGGGGCCUCACCGCCUACCGAAACCUAUCAAACUGCGAAUGCCGGAUAAAUGAUGUGCGGGAGUCAGGCCGCGAGAGAUAAGUUCCGCGGUCAAAAGGGGAACACCCCAGAUCGUCUGCUAAGGUCCCCAAGUACGCGUUAAGUGGGAAAGGAUGUUGGAUUGCACAGACAACCAGGAUGUUGGCUUAGAAGCAGCCACACAUUCAAAGAGUGCGUAAUAGCUCACUGGUCGAGUGAUCCAGCGCCGAAAAUGUAACGGGGCUAAAACGCGACACCGAAGCAGCGGGAUGCGUAAGCAUCGGUAGAGGAGCAUUGUGUGAGGAUAGAAGCCAGAGCGGGAGCACUGGUGGACUUCACAGAAGAGAGAAUGCCGGUAUGAGUAGCGAGACCCAUGCGAGAAACAUGGGCGUCGAAGGCCCAAGGUUUCCUGGGGAAGGUUCAUCCACCCAGGGUAAGUCGGGACCUAAGCCGAGGACUGAGGUCGUAGGCGAUGGACAGCAGGUAGAGAUUCCUGCACCACUUACACUUGUUUGACGAAGCAGUGACACAGAAGGAUAGGACGAGCGCGGUGAUGGUCAACCGCGUAGGCGGCACGAGGCUGGGGAGCAGUAAAGUACACUUCCCGGGAAGGCUGAGUGUUGACAGGACCGAAAAAGAGUAGGGAAGCGUCUGAGUUCACGCUGGCGAGAAAAGCUGCUAAGGAGAGUGUGAGUGCCCGUACCGGAAACCGACGCAGGUGGGCGAGGAGAGAAUCCUGAGACGGACGGGAGAACUCUUGUUAAGGAACUCGGCAAAAUGACCCCGUAACUUCGGGAGAAGGGGUGCCUCGAAAGAGGCCGCAGAGAAUAGUCACAAGCGACUGUUUAGCAAAAACACAGGUAUCUGCGAAAGCGAGAGCUGACGUAUAGGUGCUGACGCCUGCCCGGUGCUGGAAGGUUAAGGGGAAGUGUUAGGGGAAACCCGAAGCAGAGAACCGAAGCCCCAGUAAACGGCGGCCGUAACUAUAACGGUCCUAAGGUAGCGAAAUUCCUUGUCGGGUAAGUUCCGACCCGCACGAAUGGCGUAACGACUUGUGAGCUGUCUCAACAGGAGGCCCGGUGAAAUUGAAGUAUGUGUGAAGAUGCACAUUACCCGCGACUGGACGGAAAGACCCCGUAGAGCUUUACUGUAACCUGACAUUGGAUCUUGAUAACGGAUGCACAGGAUAGGUGGGACGCUGGGAGGUAUGGACUUUGGUCUGUACGGAGCGGACGUUGGGAUACCACUCUUCUGUUAUUGAAAUUCUAACAAGCAGCCGUGAACCGGCGCUUGGACCGUGCUAGGUAGGCAGUUUGACUGGGGCGGUCGCCUCCCAAAGAGUAACGGAGGCGCCCAAAGGUUCCCUCAGAAUGGAUGGAAACCAUUCGAAGAGAGCAAAGUCAGAAGGGUGCUUGACUGCGAGACCAACAAGUCGAGCAGGUACGAAAGUAGGGCUUAGUGAUCCGGCGGUAAGAGAGUGGAAUUGCCGUCGCUCAACGGAUAAAAGCUACCUCGGGGAUAACAGGCUGAUCUCCCCCAAGAGUUCACAUCGACGGGGAGGUUUGGCACCUCGAUGUCGGCUCA
rnacentral:rRNA from 1 species